AUGCCAAGUAAAGUGGGGCAAAUUGUCCAAUCUCCCGCGAUUCUCCUCUCCUCUCCUCUCCUCUCUCUCGAUUCUCCUCGCGCCGCCAUGCCGUUCUUCCUCUGCCUCCGGUCCAAGCAAAGACGAAGAGGAGACCCCAAGAUCCAGCCGCGCCUUCUUCUCACCCUCGAUCUGCUCCUCUUGGGCUCUUCGUUCGGAUGGAUGAAGCUCUCGUCGAUGGGCACGGCGACGGCGACGUUUAGAGGCGACGCUCAACUAUGCGUGGGAGAUGGCGUGGAAGAGCAGCUCGCGGAUGACGACUAUGAUGUUGCCUGGAUGUUUGACGAUGACGAGUCUCUCAAGCUCGUCGCCGGCCGUCGAAUCGUCUUCAAGCUAGCUUCACGCGCUGGUGAGUCCAAUCCAGCCCAGCCCCUCCCCCGUGAGAGUGCAGCUCUAUCGAGCCCGAGGUGA
rnacentral:rRNA from 1 species